CAGUCGCCGCGGGAAUACGGAGGGUCCAAGCGUUAUCCGGAUUUAUUGGGUUUAAAGGGUGCGUAGGUGGCCUGUUAAGUCAGGGGUGAAAGACGGUAGCUCAACUAUCGCAGUGCCCUUGAUACUGAUGGGCUUGAAUGAACUAGAGGUAGGCGGAAUGUGACAAGUAGCGGUGAAAUGUAUAGAUAUGUCACAGAACACCAAUUGCGAAGGCAGCUUACUAUGGUUUUAUUGACACUGAGGCACGAAAGCGUGGGGAUCAAACAGGAUUAGAUACCCGUGUAGUCCCUGUCUCUUAUAC
rnacentral:rRNA from 1 species